CAUAGGAAGACCACAGCAUGGAUUAAGAGACAGGAAGAAUCCAUUUGAAUGCUACAAGGAUGAACCUUUCAGAGUGGGCUACCAACAGAGAGAAACGACACAUUGCCUGACAUGUUACAUGUUUUGACAGGACUUUGUUUUUAUGCCAUUGGUACCUUUUAGAAGAUGCAAGCAGACAAAGCAACUAUAUCAUAGUCAUCCGUGUGCAGAAUCAUCAAAGAUUUUUCUGAGGCAAUGGCAAGGAGUAACAGUUAAUGAAGUGUCCGAUGACGAGAAAUUCAAACCACCCAGCGACAAUUUGAUGAUUGCUACAGGUUUCCAAGAGUCGUAGGUGCUAUCGAUUGGGGCCAUGUCUACAUCAGGAGUCCUGUUGGGGAACAAGCCCUGUACUUAGCAGGAAGAACAGGUCUUCUGUAAAUGUAUAGGUAUCCGUUGCUCCUCUCUUUGAUGAAUUCCUGCCUGCAUUCUGUUGUCAAUAGAAAAGGACCAUGUGCUUCGGGUAUUAAGCAUUCCAUUGGAUUAUCUGUGUAUGAAAGUGGACACUUGUGAUCACAAAAUGGUAGCUUAGUUGAUAGGAUGUAUUCAUGCAUUCCGAUUUAUCAUUAGUGAUCAAAUGACCAUCUUGCUUUUAAAAACCCAAAUUCACAACAUUUUUCUUGUUUGACAAAAGGUUUGGGAUGUGAAUUCCAGGAAAUAAAUGACACACACGAUGGGCUAAUGUAUAAGCAGGGAUGUGAGAGGUAUAAGCAACAUUUUGCUCAUGCUUAACUAAGUUUGGCAUGAGAUGGUCUUGGUCAUUCUUAUGAUUCAAGUCUAUUUUUAUACCAUUU